UGGGGAAUCUUGGACAAUGGGGGCAACCCUGAUCCAGCCAUGCCGCGUGAGUGAAGAAGGCCUUCGGGUUGUAAAACUCUUUCAACGGUGAAGAUAAUGACUGUAGCCGUAGAAGAAGCCCCGGCUAACUCCGUGCCAGCAGCCGCGGUAAUACGGAGGGGGCUAGCGUUGUUCGGAAUUACUGGGCGUAAAGAGCAUGUAGGCGGACUGGUCAGUCAGUGGUGAAAUCCCGGAGCUCAACUCCGGAACUGCCUUUGAUACUGCCGGUCUGGAGUUUUGGAGAGGUGAGUGGAAUUCCGAGUGUAGAGGUGAAAUUCGUAGAUAUUCGGAGGAACACCAGCGGCGAAGGCGGCUCACUGGCCAAAAACUGACGCUGAGAUGCGAAAGCGUGGGGAGCAAACAGG
rnacentral:rRNA from 1 species